rnacentral:rRNA from 1 species
UUAAAUGAAGCAGAGCGUACGGCGGAUGUCUUGGCAUACAGAGCGGAAGAAGGACGCAGAAAACGGCGAAACGCCACGAGGAGACGUACACAGUCAACGAAUCGUGGGUAUCCGAAUGGGGCAACCCGUCUGAGGGGAAAUCCUCAGACAUCCGCGGAUGAAUAGAUAGUCCGUGAGAAGGCAACCCAGGGAAUUGAAACAUCUUAGUACCUGGAGGAGAAGAAAACAACAGUGAUUCCGGGAGUAGUGGCGAGCGAAACCGGAGGAGCCUAAACCGGUCUUAGGACCGGGGUUGAAGGACCGCAGGAAGUCACUUUGGAAUGUAGUCGAAUGAGAUUGAAAGCUCAGUCACAGAGGGUGCAAACCCCGUAGACGAAACACGAAGAAGGACAAGCGGUAUCCUGAGUACGACGGGGCACGUGGAACCCUGUCGGAAUCCGCCUGGACCAUCAGGCAAGGCUAAAUACUCCUGUAUGACCGAUAGUGCACCAGUACCAUGAGGGAAAGAUGAAAAGAACCGCGGGAGCGGAGUGAAACAGAUCCUGAAACCGUAUGCUUACAAAAAGCCAGAGCACAUUAAGGUGUGAUGGCGUGCCUUUUGUAGAAUGAACCGGCGAGUUAUCCUUGCAUGCGAGGUUAAGCUGACAAAGCGGAGCCGCAGCGAAAGCGAAUCUGAACAGGGUGAAAGUAUGCAGGGAUAGACCCGAAGCCGUAGUGAUCUAGUCAUGAGCAGGUUGAAGGAUGGGUAACACCAUCUGGAGGACCGAACCGACCCUCGUUGAAAAGCUGGCGGAUGACUUGUGAUUAGCGGAGAAAUUCCAAUCGAACACGGCGAUAGCUGGUUCUCCCCGAAAUAGCUUUAGGGCUAGCGUUGAAGGAAGACAUAUGGAGGUAGAGCACUGAAUUGUCGCGGGUGGCACCUAGCCAUACCAACAUAAAUCAAACUCCGAAUGCCAUGUGUUAAUAUUCAGCAGUCAGACUGUGGGUGAUAAGGUCCAUGGUCAAAAGGGAAACAGCCCAGAUCAUCAGAUAAGGUCCCAGAAUCUGCGCCAAGUGGAAAAGGAUGUGGAGACGCGUAAACAGCUAGGAGGUUGGCUCAGAAGCAGCCAUCCUUAAAAGAGUGCGUAACAGCUCACUAGUCGAGUAUCUCUGCGCCGAAAAUUAACCGGGGCUAAGCGCAGUACCGAAUCUAUGGAUUUGUGCAGCAAUGUAUAAGUGGUAGGGGAGCGUUCCAUACAGCGUUGAAGGCAUACCGUAAGGAGUGUUGGAGCGUAUGGAAGUGAGAAUGCCGGUGUGAGUAGCGAGAUGCAGGUGAGAAUCCUGCACACCGAUAGACCAAGGAUUCCAGGGGAAGGUUCGUCCGCCCUGGGUAAGUCGGGACCUAAGGCGAGGCCGAAAGGCGUAGUCGAUGGACAGCAGGUUGAUAUUCCUGCACCCGCAGGUCAAAUGAUGGAGUGACGGAAGCGUAAAGUACCAGCCCUUAAUGGAUUGGGCAGGGCAUAAUGAGAGGGCCGACAGUGAAAUGCGUUGGCGGAAAUCGAGUUAUGAACCGAGAGAAAGAGCGAUCAAGUAUCGAAGGGUAUGGAGCGAUUCCCAGGAAAAGCUUCUAGUGUUAAUUGACCAGCGGCCCGUACCAAAACCGACACAGGUGGUCAAGGCGAAUAGCCUGAGGUGAGCGAGAGAACUGUUGCCAAGGAACUCGGCAAAUUGGUCCCGUACGUUAGCUAUAAGGGACGCUCGAAAGAGCCGCAGUGAAAAGGCCCUAGCAACUGUUUAACUAAAACAUAGCUCUCUGCGAAGUCGCAAGACGAAGUAUAGGGGGUGACACCUGCCCGGUGCUGGAAGGUCAAGGGGAUCCGUUAGCCGCAAGGCGAAGCAGUGAACCGAAGCCCCAGUGAACGGCGGCCGUAACUAUAACGGUCCUAAGGUAGCGAAAUUCCUUGUCAGGUAAGUUCUGACCCGCACGAAAGGUGUAAUGAUUUGGGCACUGUCUCGGCAGCAGACUCGGUGAAAUCUUAGUACCUGUGAAGAUGCAGGUUACCCGCAACUAGACGGAAAGACCCCAUGGAGCUUUACUGCAGUCUGCUAUUGAGUUUCGGUUGGAUAUGCACAGGAUAGGUGGGAGACAAAGAGACAGGUCUUUAGGGAUCUGAGGAGUCAAUGUUGGGAUACCACUCUUAUUCAAUUGAAAUUCUAACUCAGGACAGUGAACCUGACUGAGGACCGUGGCAGAUGGGCAGUUUGACUGGGGCGGUCGCCUCCCAAAGAGUAACGGAGGCGCUCAAAGGUACUCUCAGAAUGGUUGGAAAUCAUUCAGCGAGCGCAAACGCAGAAGAGUGCUUGACUGCGAGACAGACAAGUCGAGCAGGGACGAAAGUCGGAGUUAGUGAUCCGGCGGUGCAGAAUGGAAUGGCCGUCGCUUAACGGAUAAAAGCUACCCUGGGGAUAACAGGCUGAUCUCGCCCAAGAGUUCACAUCGACGGCGAGGUUUGGCACCUCGAUGUCGGCUCAUCGCAUCCUGGAGGUGAAUUCGCUUCCAAGGGUUGGGCUGUCCGCCCAUUAAAGCGGUACGCGAGCUGGGUUCAGAACGUCGUGAGACAGUUCGGUCCCUAUCUGUUGUGGGCGUUGGAAAUUUGAGGAGAGCUGCCCCUAGUACGAGAGGACCAGGGUGGACGUUCCUACGGUGCACCAGUUAUCACGCCAGUGGUACAGCUGGAUAGCUGAGAACGGAUUGGAUAAACGCUGAAGGCAUCUAAGCGCGAAACCAACUCCAAGAUAAGAUUUCCCAUUGAUUCAAUCAAAUAAGACCCCUUGAAGACGACGAGGUAGAUAGGUCAGGGAUGUAAGUGAAGUGAUUCAUUGAGUUGACUGAUACUAAUAGGUCGAAGGUUUAAUCAA